UACGUAGGUGACAAGCGUUGUCCGGAUUUACUGGGCGUAAGAGCGCGCAGGCGGUCGAUCAAGUCGAGUGUGAAAGCCCCCGGCUCAACUGGGGAGGGUCAUUCGAUACUGAUCGACUCGAAGGCAGGAGAGGGUAGUGGAAUUCCCGGUGUAGUGGUGAAAUGCGUAGAUAUCGGGAGGAACACCAGUGGCGAAGGCGACUACCUGGCCUGUUCUUGACGCUGAGGCGCGAAGCUAGGGGAGCAAACGGG
rnacentral:rRNA from 1 species